rnacentral:rRNA from 1 species
AGAGUUUGAUCCUGGCUCAGAUUGAACGCUGGCGGAACGCUUUACACAUGCAAGUCGAACGGUAACGCGGAGAGAAGCUUGCUUCUCUCCGGCGACGAGUGGCGAACGGGUGAGUAAUACAUCGGAACGUGUCCGCUCGUGGGGGACAACCAGCCGAAAGGUUGGCUAAUACCGCAUGAGUUCUACGGAAGAAAGAGGGGGACCCGCAAGGGCCUCUCGCGAGCGGAGCGGCCGAUGACUGAUUAGCCGGUUGGUGAGGUAACGGCUCACCAAAGCAACGAUCAGUAGCUGGUCUGAGAGGACGACCAGCCACACUGGGACUGAGACACGGCCCAGACUCCUACGGGAGGCAGCAGUGGGGAAUUUUGGACAAUGGGCGCAAGCCUGAUCCAGCUAUUCCGCGUGUGGGAUGAAGGCCCUCGGGUUGUAAACCACUUUUGUAGAGAACGAAAAGACACCUUUUAAAAAAGGGUGUUGCUGACGGUACUCUAAGAAUAAGCACCGGCUAACUACGUGCCAGCAGCCGCGGUAAUACGUAGGGUGCGAGCGUUAAUCGGAAUUACUGGGCGUAAAGGGUGCGCAGGCGGUUGAGUAAGACAGAUGUGAAAUCCCCGAGCUUAACUCGGGAAUGGCAUAUGUGACUGCUCGACUAGAGUGUGUCAGAGGGAGGUGGAAUUCCACGUGUAGCAGUGAAAUGCGUAGAUAUGUGGAAGAACACCGAUGGCGAAGGCAGCCUCCUGGGACAUAACUGACGCUCAGGCACGAAAGCGUGGGGAGCAAACAGGAUUAGAUACCCUGGUAGUCCACGCCCUAAACGAUGUUAACUAGUUGUUGGGAAGUAAAAUUCUCAGUAACGCAGCCAACGCGAGAAGUUAACCGCCUGGGAAGUACGGUCGCAAGACUAAAACUCAAAGGAAUUGACGGGGACCCGCACAAGCGGUGGAUGAUGUGGAUUAAUUCGAUGCAACGCGAAAAACCUUACCUACCCUUGACAUGUCAGGAAGCUCUUGUAAUGAGAGCGUGCCCGCAAGGGAGCCUGAACACAGGUGCUGCAUGGCUGUCGUCAGCUCGUGUCGUGAGAUGUUGGGUUAAGUCCCGCAACGAGCGCAACCCUUGCUAUUAGUUGCUACGCAAGAGCACUCUAAUAGGACUGCCGUUGACAAAACGGAGGAAGGUGGGGACGACGUCAAAUCAUCAUGCCCCUUAUGUCCUGGGCUACACACGUAAUACAAUGGCGGUCAACAGAGGGAUGCAAAGCCGUAAGGUGGAGCGAACCCCUAAAAGCCGUCCCAGUUCAGAUUGUGGGCUGCAACCCGCCCACAUGAAGUCGGAAUCGCUAGUAAUCGCGGAUCAGCAUGCCGCGGUGAAUACGUUCCCGGGUCUUGUACACACCGCCCGUCAAACAAUGGGAGUGGUGUUUACCAGAAGUCGUUAGCCUAACCGCAAGGAGGGCGGCGACCACGGUGAGCACCGUGACUAAUGUUAAGUCGUAACAAGGUAGCCGUACCGGAAGGUGCGGCUG